UAGGGAAUCUUCCACAAUGGACGCAAGUCUGAUGGAGCAACGCCGCGUGAGUGAAGAAGGUUUUCGGAUCGUAAAGCUCUGUUGUUGGUGAAGAAGGAUAGAGGCAGUAACUGGUCUUUAUUCGACGGUAAUCAACCAGAAAGUCACGGCUAACUACGUGCCAGCAGCCGCGGUAAUACGUAGGUGGCAAGCGUUGUCCGGAUUUAUUGGGCGUAAAGCGAGCGCAGGCGGAAUGAUAAGUCUGAUGUGAAAGCCCACGGCUCAACCGUGGAACUGCAUCGGAAACUGUCAUUCUUGAGUGCAGAAGAGGAGAGUGGAAUUCCAUGUGUAGCGGUGGAAUGCGUAGAUAUAUGGAAGAACACCAGUGGCGAAGGCGGCUCUCUGGUCUGCAACUGACGCUGAGGCUCGAAAGCAUGGGUAGCGAACAGG
rnacentral:rRNA from 1 species